AUAUGGAAAACCAACAGUAAUCCAUGAAAAAAAUGGUUACAACCAGAGGCUGUAAACCAUGCUGAACAAAGCUGGAGCAGCAUACUCAUCAUGCUAUUCCCUUUUAGGGUUGGUCUUGGAGAUAAAAGGAGAGAUACUCCACAUGUUAGGUUGCAUGAGAAGAACUGCUGAUUAGAAAAAAGAACAGAAAAGAAGGAAGAAGCUCUGAGGAAAUUUGAAUCUGUACACCUCACCUCAACUUUAAGAUGCCUGGACUUCAACUCCAAGAAUGCCCCAGCCAUACAACAAGAAAGUGUUAAUUUGAGAUCAUUGCAAACAACAGAACUUUCAAUUCACAGGAAAUGGGAUUAAUUCUUGGAUACAGGUUUAACUGAGAUGGAUGUAUUUUUAUGCGUUUAAGUCAGUGUUCACUCCUGGCAACUGCCUAGACAAA